rnacentral:rRNA from 1 species
AGUGAACGCUGGCGGUAGGCCUAACACAUGCAAGUCGAACGGCAGCACAGUAAGAGCUUGCUCUUACGGGUGGCGAGUGGCGGACGGGUGAGGAAUACAUCGGAAUCUACUUUUUCGUGGGGGAUAACGUAGGGAAACUUACGCUAAUACCGCAUACGACCUACGGAUGAAAGCAGGGGAUCUUCGGACCUUGCGCGAUUGAAUGAGCCGAUGUCGGAUUAGCUAGUUGGCGGGGUAAAGGCCCGCCAAGGCGACGAUCCGUAGCUGGUCUGAGAGGAUGAUCAGCCACACUGGAACUGAGACACGGUCCAGACUCCUACGGGAGGCAGCAGUGGGGAAUAUUGGACAAUGGGCGCAAGCCUGAUCCAGCCAUACCGCGUGGGUGAAGAAGGCCUUCGGGUUGUAAAGCCCUUUUGUUGGGAAAGAAAAGCAGCAGGUUAAUACCCCGCUGUUCUGACGGUACCCAAAGAAUAAGCACCGGCUAACCUCGUG